rnacentral:rRNA from 1 species
AACGAACGCUGGCGGCAGGCCUAACACAUGCAAGUCGAGCGGGGAGCAAUCCCUAGCGGCGGACGGGUGAGUAACGCGUGGGAACGUGCCCUUUGCUUCGGAAUAGCCCCUGGAAACGGGGAGUAAUACCGGAUGUGCCCUACGGGGGAAAGAAUUUCGGCAAAGGAUCGGCCCGCGUUGGAUUAGGUAGUUGGUGGGGUAAUGGCCUACCAAGCCGACGAUCCAUAGCUGGUUUGAGAGGAUGAUCAGCCACACUGGGACUGAGACACGGCCCAGACUCCUACGGGAGGCAGCAGUGGGGAAUCUUAGACAAUGGGCGCAAGCCUGAUCUAGCCAUGCCGCGUGAGCGAUGAAGGCCUUAGGGUUGUAAAGCUCUUUCGUGGGGGGAAGAUAAUGACGGUACCCCAAGAAGAAGCCCCGGCUAACUCCGUGCCAGCAGCCGCGGUAAU